UGAAUUCUUCAAUCUUGAAUUGUUCAAUGAUGAUAGCUAUCUUGCAUCGUACUAUAAAAUCAUGGAUCGGCAACUAGGUGAUUGUCAAUCUGUUCUUGCUAGAUGUGUUGUUGUUUUUCUUCUUCUAAGAUAAGAUGGUAGCAUCACAUGUCAUCCUAUCAUGUUGUACUAGUUCCUGAAGUGUAAGAUAAGAUGGUGGCAUCAGAUGUGUGUUUUGACUUGUGACUGCUUACUACAUGGAUACAUGCAACUAGCUAGCAACCUAGCAGUACUAGUAAGAAUAUAUGUGACUAAUUCCCUCCCUUUACCUUGUGAUUGAUUCCAGGUAUAUACAGAUGCCAUCUUUGUCUGGCAACAUAUGCACCUGAUUACAUUCAGGUGCAUAUAGUAUACUUGAACAGUGUAAACAUAUGCAUCUGCAAAAUUAUCUCAUUCAUAGUGUGGUGCCUAUGUAUACCAGUUAUCAAUUGGCUUGAUUUAGGCUAUUGAUAGUCAGUGUCUCAGUGACAGAAAUAACUCAAAAGCUAUACCUUUAGCUGUGCUGGCAAUCGAAUGUAUAUAAUCGUAACCGUGAAACUAGUUAUUACCGUAGCUAGCAGAUCUCUUUAGUAAGCAGUAACUGGUAGUUCUCAUAAUCCAUCCCAUAGAUUACUUCCCCAACGUGUGUUCCAAGGGCUUUACCUGUUAGAAUUGAUGCUUGUUUCUACUAAGUGUUGCACUUGUUUCUACUAAGUUUUAUCUGUGAAUCUGUUGUUUCACAUAUACUAUAUACAACUGAUGCCUUGAAGAAGUCAGCUCCCCUUGGAUGGUGCAGUGUAGCAAAUAAAUGUUGAUUCAUUCAUUCUUUGAUGUUGGCUUUCAUUCUUCCAAAGUUGGGUGUACAUGAGCUCUAGGAACAAUCCCGAAGAUAAACCACACCCAACAAUGUGUUUUAGCUCACUAGAGAUAGUUAUGCUUGCAGCUAGUUAUGUGUAUAUUUAGUUAUAUUUUAUAGCUGAAUACCAGAAUUGUACUAUGCUUGGCUGUUGUAUGAAAUAUUAUGCCUUAUUGGCUCUUUUUGAAUCAAAUUAUCUAAUUGCACAAAUA